UACGGAGGGGGCUAGCGUUGUUCGGAAUUACUGGGCGUAAAGCGCACGUAGGCGGAUCAGAAAGUCAGAGGUGAAAGCCCAGGGCUCAACCUUGGAACUGCCUUUGAAACUCCUGAUCUUGAGGUCGUGAGAGGUGAGUGGAAUUCCUAGUGUAGAGGUGAAAUUCGUAGAUAUUAGGAGGAACACCAGUGGCGAAGGCGGCUCACUGGCUCGGUGCUGACGCUGAGGUGCGAAAGCGUGGGGAGCAAACAGG
rnacentral:rRNA from 1 species